GUGCUCGCUUUGGUAGCACAUAUACUCAAAUUUGAAAGAUAUAAGAGAUUGGCAUGGCCUCUGCACAAGGAUGACAUGUAAAUUUGUGAAGUGCCCCACAUUUUU
ensembl:snRNA U6 U6 spliceosomal RNA